rnacentral:rRNA from 1 species
GACGAACGCUGGCGGCGUGCUUAACACAUGCAAGUCGAACGGAAAGGCCCUGCUUGCAGGGUACUCGAGUGGCGAACGGGUGAGUAACACGUGGGUGAUCUGCCCUGCACUUCGGGAUAAGCCUGGGAAACUGGGUCUAAUACCGGAUAGGAGCCAUUUUGAGUGUGAUGGUUGGAAAGUUUUUUCGGUGUAGGAUGAGCUCGCGGCCUAUCAGCUUGUUGGUGGGGUAAUGGCCUACCAAGGCGGCGACGGGUAGCCGGCCUGAAAGGGUGGACGGCCACAUUGGCACUGAGAUUCGGCCCAGACUCCGACGGGAGGCAGCAGUGGGGAAUGUUGCACAAGGGGCGCAAGCCUGAUGCAGCGACGCCGCGUGGGGGAUGACGGCCUUCGGGUUGUAAUCUCCUUUCGCUAGGGACGAAGCUUUUUGUGACGGUACCUAGAUAAGAAGCACCGGCUAACUACGUG